rnacentral:rRNA from 1 species
GAUGAACGCUGGCGGCGUGCCUAAUACAUGCAAGUCGAGCGAACAGAUGAGGAGCUUGCUCCUCUGACGUUAGCGGCGGACGGGUGAGUAACACGUGGAUAACCUACCUAUAAGACUGGGAUAACUUCGGGAAACCGGAGCUAAUACCGGAUAAUAUAUUGAACCGCAUGGUUCAAUAGUGAAAGACGGUUUUGCUGUCACUUAUAGAUGGAUCCGCGCCACAUUAGCUAGUUGGUAAGGUAACGGCUUACCAAGGCGACGAUGCGUAGCCGACCUGAGAGGGUGAUCGGCCACACUGGAACUGAGACACGGUCCAGACUCCUACGGGAGGCAGCAGUAGGGAAUCUUCCGCAAAGGGCGAAAGCUUGACGGAGCAACGCCGCGUGAGUGAUGAAGGUCUUCGGAUCGUAAAACUCUGUUAUUAGGGAAGAACAAAUGUGUAAGUAACUAUGCACGUCUUGACGGUACCUAAUCAGAAAGCCACGGCUAACUACGUG